UUUCCGUAGGUGAACCUGCGGAAGGAUCAUUAAAAAAUUGGACUCCAUUGGUGAGUUCAUUAAUAAUCCUACCCUUUGUGAAUUCGUUUGUUUGAAUAAUUUUUUUUUCAAAAAAAAUUAUUGAAUGUCUUUCCCUGUUUUGGUGGAGCUUGUAAAGUGAAACCAGGCAGGGGAAUGGCAAACAAUAAUUAUUUUUGAAAAAGACCUUUUUUAAAAUUAAACUUUUUUGUAUUCAUUUGUCUAAAAUUAUUUUUAUAAUAUAAAAACAACUUUUGACAAUGGAUCUCUUGGUUCUCGCAACGAUGAAGAACGCAGCAAAAUGCGAUAAGUAGUGUGAAUUGCAGAAUACGUGAAUCAUCGAAUCUUCGAACGCAUAUUGCACUUUUUUAGUUUACUAAAAAAGUAUGUCUGUUUGAGUAUCAGUAAAAUAUUCUCAUAAAAACUUUUUGUUUUUAUGGUUAUGAGUGUUUUACAACGAUACAAGUUGUUUCACUUUAAAUUUUUUUUAAAAUUUGAAUUUUUCUAAUUUUAAAAUAAAAUUGGAUAAAAUUUUCCCGUAAAAAAGGAAUAACCUAAAACAAUUUUAAUUUUUUGAUUAGAAUUCUUCAAUUAUAAAGGAAAAUUUAACUAAAUAACUUGAUCUCAAAUCAGAUAAGAGUACCCGCUGAACUUAAGCAUAUCAAUAAGCGGAGGAAAAGAAACUAACAAGGAUUCCCUUAGUAACGGCGAGUGAAGCGGGAAGAGCUCAAAUUCGAAAUCUUCAAGGUUUUACCUUGACGAAUUGUAGUUUAAAGAAGUGUUUUCUGUUGAAGUUUUGGUAAAAGUUCUUUGGAAUAGGACAUCAUAGAGGGUGAGAAUCCCGUAUUUGACCAUUAUUUUCAGCUGUGUGAUACACUUUCAAAGAGUCGGAUUGUUUGGGAAUGCAGUCCAAAAUGGGUGGUAAAUUUCAUCUAAAGCUAAAUAUUGGCGAGAGACCGAUAGCGAACAAGUACCGUGAGGGAAAGAUGAAAAGAACUUUGAAAAGAGAGUUAAACAGUACGUGAAAUUGUCAAAAGGGAAGCGUUUGACACCAGUGUUGUUUUCUCGAAAAUCAAUUAAAAAAAGUUGGAUUUUGUGUUGUAUUGACCUUAACAGCUUGCUUCACUCUUUUCUUGCUUUUUUUAAUGCACUUUUCGUUUAACAAGUCAACAUCAGUUUCUUUUGUUGUAAAAGGGUCAUUGGAAGGUGGCUUUCUCUUCGGAGAAAGUGUUUAUAGCCUUUGAUCUCUGCAAUCGGAGAGACUGAGGUCUGCAGCGUAGAUCCUUCGGGGUUAGAUACAUUUGUGCUAAGCUACAGCUUUUCAUAGACAACUUGUUGACUAUGUUUAGUCUUGUAACUUACCCGCUUAUGCUAUUUUACCUACGCUUAGGAUGUUG
rnacentral:misc_RNA from 1 species